CCAAUAGCGUAUAUUAAAGUUGUUGUGGUUAAAAAGCUCGUAGUUGAACCUUGGGCCUGGCUGGCCGGUCCGCCUCACCGCGUGCACUGGUCCGGCCGGGCCUUUCCCUCUGUGGAACCCCAUGCCCUUCACUGGGUGUGGCGGGGAAACAGGACUUUUACUUUGAAAAAAUUAGAGUGCUCCAGGCAGGCCUAUGCUCGAAUACAUUAGCAUGGAAUAAUAAAAUAGGACGUGUGGUUUUAUUUUGUUGGUUUCUAAGACCGCCGUAAUGAUUAAUAGGGACAGUCGGGGGCAUCAGUAUUCAAUUGUCAGAGGUGAAAUUCUUGGAUUUAUUGAAGACUAACUACUGCGAAAGCAUUUGCCAAGGAUGUUUUCAUUAAUCAGGAACGAAAGUUAGGGGAUCGAAGACGAUCAGAUACCGUCGUAGUCUUAACCGUAAACGAUGCCGACUAGGGAUCGGACGGUGUUAUUUUUUGACCCGUUCGGCACCUUACGAGAAACCAAAGUGUUUGGGUC
rnacentral:misc_RNA from 1 species